UGGUGGAGUGAUUUGUCUGGUUAAUUCCGUUAACGAACGAGACUUCGAACCUGCUAAACUAGAAGCUGGAUUACUAUUCAGUUUUCUUCUUAGAGGGACUAAGUGUUCAAGCACAUGGAAGUUUGAGGCAAUAACA
rnacentral:rRNA from 1 species